GGCCCCGUAGCUCAGAUGGAUAGAGCGUUCGCCUUCUAAGCGAAAUGCCGCAGGUUCGAGUCCUGCCGGGGUCGCCA
rnacentral:tRNA from 1 species